UUUUUCAUUUUUUCCACAUUUACCCUUCCUUCUUUAACUUUGAUGCUUCUUCAUAACAUCCAGAGAAAUCCUAAAUCGAAACCCUCAACCACCAUAUCCAUCGCUACUACCACCGUCUCCGUCGCCACCACAACCAAUACCAUCAGCACCAACACCGGUGCCGCAACUACCACCGCCACCACCAUCUCCAUUGUCACCAUCACCAUCUACAUCCUCACAAACAAAAUCAAUCCAUCCCACUAUUAUCAACAACGUAAUCUGAAAAUAUAUAUUAGGCUUAACUUGAAUCAAUUCGAUAUAGCUUGAAAAACCUAAAUCGAUGUCAACGACGUUUUUCUUGAAGAGAAAAAUUUAUGAGAUUCAACAUCAAUAUAAUUUGAAGAAUUCAUCUUCAUAAACGAUUGAACAGAAAGAAAAAUGCAAGUUCACUGGUGUUUUGAACAAGAGUUUGAGGGUAAGAAGCCAGGAAAGAAGAAGAGUUAACUAUGGACAUGAAUAUGACGAUGAUGAAUUUGCGCAUUAGAUCUAAAACAAGCUAAUUGGUGGUGACUGUGGACAUGAAGAAGAAUAUGACGAUUAUGGAUCGUAUUGUUUUUACUGUUUCUGUUUUAAUACAUUGUUGAGUGCUUGUUGCUUUUUGAGGACAUUUGGUAUGAUUUUUGAACUCUGAUUUGGACGUUCUUGUUUUUGAACAAGAUAAGGAAACUAGUGAUAGUUGGAGCUUAUUACUGUUUGACUACUCGGUUGAUGUUGCCGUUUUCCCAAUUAAAAUUCAGAAGGUUACAUAUCGAGUCUUCGCUAAUUGGGUUGCAUCGUGGAUGGUCUUACUGUCCCAUUCAAAUAAAUGUUGUUGUUGAUGUUGUUUCUUGAAUAUUAAGGUUGGAAUGGCCGUUGUUACGCGAGCCGAUGAGAGAUUGUAGACUUGGAUCACUGUGUGAGUAGGUAUGACUUGUGAGCAUUAUCGACCUUUUUUUUUCAUUGUAGGAAGCUGUUUUUGUGUGCUUCACAGUUAAGUUAGUAGUUUAGUAAGAGUUUUACAGGAGUAACAAUAACUAGAUGUUGAAAAUCUUAUUUUCUCUGUCACGUUUUUCUGUACUCUGUUGUCUACGAAACCGGUGUUGUUGUGUAGGGAUUUAGGCGACACUUUCUUAACGAAAAAUGUUCCCCAAUGUCUCCUCUAUAAUGGGUUAAAAGGGCUUGCCAUUUAGAUUUAUCGUUUAGGAUUUAUGGCUCUCUCCACACAACUUAUCAGAACUGAAAACUGCAGGAAUGCAGUCUUACGACCAUCUUAGCACACACGUUUCACAGGCCAAACGAACUCGGAAUUUAGAUUCUUAAGAUACGUAUGAAAUGUGGGUCUGUCUAGUUUCUAAAUUGAGGUUAAGCAUCGAAUUUAGAUUUCUAACGAAGUCUGUAGAGCAUCGGCAAGGCAGGCUGUCAGAGGCGUAAUUCUGCGGCUUAUUUUGCCCAGAUUUUUGUUGUGUCUUAUUUAGCUUUCCUUUAUUGUUGUACUUCUGAACAUUUGACUUGUUAGGCUGAGAUGAACCUUUUAAUGAGACUAAUGAAGGUCUAGGUAUUAAAAUGAAAGAGUAAAAUGUAAGCAAAGGAAAUACAAUUAAGUUUCGAUACCCGCCUGUAACACCUAGAAUUUGGGUAAAUCCAUUAUCUGAAUUCUGGGGUGUUACAUGACUUGCAUUGGUUAUUGUACAAUCAUUGUUUCAUAUGUGAAGUUUAUAGUUUUUUGAUUGUGAAUGUAAUGUUUGCAUCUUACACUCGAGGCUUGGAGGUGAUUUGGUAACUUCAUGUGUUGUUGGUGUUGCCCGCCAAAAGCUAAGAUCCGAAAGACUACUAAAUAUCAGGUUCAAACCUAUCUUCUUUGUUCUUUUUUUGAACUUUUCUACUUCAGGGAAUCAUCAUUCGACUGUGGGAAAUGAUAGGAUCAUUCAGAUUCUUUAUUAUUUUAUUUAUUUUUUUGUUACAUUUUGCUUUUCUUAAUGUUGGAUAAUGAAUAUGGUAACAGUUCCAUUUGCUUCAAUAAUGAAUAGUGUGAAAUUGAAAUGCUGAAACAUGGAAGUAGAUAUAUUAGACAAACUUGAACUUGUGGUGUAAUGGUAGCACAACGUCAGAAGAUGCGUGUUCGAUUCACGUCAGGUUCACUAACAUAGUACAUCCGUUUUUGGGAUCAACUUUGGUUGUUGACACUUGGUUUUGGGAUCAACUUCGGUUGUUGCACCAUAUUAUUUAUUUAUUUAUUUAUUUCUGAUUUUUGUUUGAGAAUCAACAUCGGUUGUUGACACCAUAUUUUUUUUCUUCUUAUUUUCUGAAUUUUAUUUUUGAGAUCAACUUCAGUUGUUGGUACCAUAUUAUUUUUAUAUCUUUUCUGAUU